GCUCGUGUUGUGGCAGGAAGCAGUGAAGCUAAGAUGCCGACACUCGAGGCGUAUGGGACGAAUCUUACAAAGUUAGCACAGGAGGGAAAGUUAGCACCUGUUGUCGGAAGGGAAAAGGAGAUCGAGAGUGUCACACAAAUCUUGGGCAAAAUGAAGAAGAAGAACCCCUGCCUGAUUGGAGAGCCCGGUGUUGGGAAAACGGUGAUAUUCGAAGGGCUUGCUCUACGCAUCGCUGCCGGGGAUGUGCCUGAAACAAUUCAAGGGAAAACGGUUAUCAGUCUUGAUAUGGGGCUCCUACUUGCUGGUACCAAAUACCGCGGAGAGUUUGAAGAAAGGCUGAAGAACUUGAUGGAAGAGAUCAAACAGAACGGCGAGAUAAUAUUGUUCCUUGAUGAAGUUCACACUCUGGUAGGAGCAGGAGCAGCAGAAGGUGCUAUCGACGCGGCCAACAUUCUGAAGCCGGCACUGGCAAGAGGUGAAAUUCAGUGUAUCGGAGCCACCACAUUCGACGAAUACGCCAAGCACAUUGAGAAAGACCCUGCGCUGGAGAGGCGCUUCCAGCCUGUGAAAGUUCUAGAGCCCACGGUUGAUGAAGCCAUAGGAAUUCUCAAAGGGCUCGUGGAGCGGUACGAGGAACACCACAAGGUCAAGUAUUCCAAGGAAGCGCUAAUCGACGCCGCUAGGCUCUCGCACCGAUACAUCAGUAAUCGUUUCCUCCCGGAUAAAGCCAUCGACUUGAUUGAUGAGGCGGGAUGUCAAGUCAGGCUACGUCAUGGCAAG
rnacentral:rRNA from 1 species